rnacentral:rRNA from 1 species
UACGGAGGAUGCAAGCGUUAUCCGGAUUUAUUGGGUUUAAAGGGUGCGCAGGUUGUUUGAUAAGUCAGUGGUGAAAGUCUGUCGCUUAACGGUAGGAUUGCCAUUGAUACUGUUAGACUUGAAUAUGGAUGAGGUAGGCGGAAUGUGAAGUGUAGCGGUGAAAUGCAUAGAUAUUACACAGAACACCGAUUGCGAAGGCAGCUUACUAAUCCAUCAUUGACGCUGAGGCACGAAAGCGUGGGGAUCAAACA